GAGGAACCUGUCCUGUAAUCGAUAAUCCACGUUAAUUUAACCUAAAUUUGUGAUUCAGCUUGUAUAUCGUUGUCUUAAGAUUAUUUUAUAAGAAAUUUUUCGAGAAUAAUGUUUUAUUUAAGUCAAAUCAAGAUGCAGUUUAUGYUUAGGGUUGAGAUGGGUUACAUUAUAUAAAUAUAAACGGAUWUAARUUUGUAAURUUUAUUGAAGGUGGAUUUAAUUGUAAUUUGGAGUUAAAUA
rnacentral:rRNA from 1 species